rnacentral:rRNA from 1 species
GACGGGUAGCCGACCUGAGAGGGUGACCGGAAUGGAUGGACGCAGCUGAUGCAGCACGCCGCGUGAGGGAUGAAGGCCUUCGGGUUGUAAACCGCUUUCGGCGGGGACGAAACGGAGGGGACUGGACCUGCGCAACCUUGACCGGCUCCCUACAUGAAACCACCCG